GGCCGGAAGUGAAUGGUGCACAUCCGGUUUGGCGGCGAGGCCGGCGCCGGUUCUGGCGUUCCGUGAGCGGCCCGGGGCUCUUGGGUCAGGAGUUCCUGAGCGGCCCGGGGGUCCCUGAGCGGCCUGGGGCAUCCCACCGUGCCGCGAUGUCGAUGUCGCACUUGUACGGCACGGACGGAGACGAUGGCGUGGAGAUGGAGAGCUUCGAGGUGUCGGACUGGGACCUGCAGAACGAAUUCAACCCGCACCGGCAGCGGCACCGCCAGACCAAGGAGGAGGCGACAUACGGCGUGUGGGCCGAGCGCGACUCGGACGAGGAGCGGCCCAGCUUCGGCGGGAAGCGCUCCAGGGAUUACUCAGCCCCCGUGAGCUUUGUCAGUGCUGGGCUGAGGAAGGGGGCGGCCGAGGAGCUCUCGGAUGAGGACUCGGAUGACGAUGAGAAGCCCGUGAAGCAGGAGGAGAUUCCCAAGGAGUUUGUGCCCAAGAAGUUAAAAACAGGUGGAAAUUUCAAGCCCAGCCAGAAAGGCUUUGCAGGGGGCUCCAAGUCCUUCGUGGAUUUUGGCAGCUGGGAGAGACACACUAAAGGAAUUGGGCAGAAGCUUCUCCAGAAGAUGGGAUAUGUCCCUGGAAGGGGUCUGGGGAAGAAUGCUCAAGGAAUCAUCAAUCCCAUCGAGGCCAAGCAGAGGAAAGGCAAAGGUGCUGUGGGCGCUUAUGGCUCCGAGAGGACCCCGCAGUCCUUGCAGGACUUCCCUGUGGUGGACUCGGAAGAGGAAGCUGAGGAGGAAUUUCAGAAGGAGCUCAGCCAGUGGCGGAAGGACCCGAAUGGAGGCAAGAAAAAGCCCAAGUACAGCUACAAGACAGUGGAAGAGCUGAAAGCCAAGGGCAGGAUCAGCAAGCAGCUUGCAGCCCCUCAGAAGGAGCUGUCCCAGGUCAAGGUGAUUGACAUGACGGGCCGGGAGCAGAAGGUUUAUUACAGCUACAGCCAGAUCAGCCACAAGCACAACAUCCCAGAUGACAGCCCCCAGCAGCCCCUGGGCAAGGACUCCAAGCCCCAGGGCUUUGCCCUGCCUGAGCUGGAGCACAACCUGCAGCUGCUCAUCGACAUCACGGAGCAGGAGAUCAUCCAGAGCGACCGGCAGCUGCAGUACGAGAGGGACAUGGUGGUCAACCUGAGCCACGAGAUCCAGAAGAUGGCUGAGGUGCUGUCCCACGAGGAGAAGGCCAUCAGCAACCUCAGCAAGGUGCUGGACAUGGUGGAGGAGUGUGAGAGGCGGAUGCAGCCGGGCUGUGAGAACCCUCUGACCCUGGAUGAAUGUGCAAAGAUCUUUGAGACCCUGCAGGACAAGUACUACGAGGAGUACAGGAUGUCAGACAGGGUGGACCUGGCAGUGGCCAUAGUUUAUCCUCUCAUGAAGGAAUACUUUAAGAACUGGGAUCCCCUCAAGGACUGUACAUAUGGCACAGAGAUCAUAGCCAAGUGGAAAAGCCUUCUGGAAAACGAUCAGCUGUUAUCCCACAGUGGGCAGGACCUGUCAACAGAUGCUUUUCACAGACUGAUGUGGGAGAUCUGGAUGCCAUAUGUCAGAAACAUCGUGGCGCGGUGGCAGCCAAGGAACUGCGGAUCCAUGGUGGAUUUCUUGGAUAGCUGGGUGAACGUUGUUCCUGUGUGGAUACUGGAUAACAUUCUGGAUCAGCUCAUCUUCCCCAAGCUGCAGAAGGAGGUGGAGAGCUGGAAUCCCCUGACAGACACGGUGCCCAUCCACUCGUGGAUCCACCCCUGGCUGCCGCUGAUGCAGGCGCGGCUGGAGCCGCUGUACUCGCCCAUCCGCAACAAGCUGGCCAACGCUCUGCAGAAAUGGCACCCCAGCGACUCCUCUGCCAAGCUCAUCCUUCAGCCCUGGAAGGAUGUGUUCACUCCUGGCUCGUGGGAGGCUUUCAUGGUCAAGAACAUCGUGCCUAAACUCGGAAUGUGUCUGAAUGAGCUCAUCAUUAACCCACACCAGCAGCACAUGGAUGCCUUUUACUGGGUGAUUGACUGGGAGGGGAUGAUUUCUGUCUCCAGCCUGGUUGGGCUGCUGGAGAAACACUUCUUCCCAAAGUGGUUGCAGGUGCUCUGCUCUUGGCUCAGUAACAGCCCCAACUACGAAGAGAUCACCAAGUGGUACCUGGGCUGGAAGUCCAUGUUCUCAGACCAGGUGCUGGCACAUCCCUCCAUCAAAGACAAGUUCAAUGAAGCCCUUGACAUCAUGAACCGGGCCGUGUCCUCCAGCGUAGGUGGGUACAUGCAGCCGGGCGCUCGGGAGAACAUCGCGUACCUGACGCACACGGAGCGGCGCAAGGACUUCCAGUACGAGGCCAUGCAGGAGCGGCGCGAGGCCGAGAACAUGGCCCAGCGCGGCAUCGGCGCCGCCGCCGGCUCCGUGCCCAUGAACUUCAAGGACCUCAUCCAGACCAAGGCCGAGGAGCACAACAUCGUCUUCAUGCCCGUCAUCGGCAAGCGGCACGAGGGCAAGCAGCUCUACACCUUCGGCAGGAUCGUCAUCUACAUCGACAGGGGCGUGGUGUUUGUGCAAGGGGAGAAGACCUGGGUGCCCACCUCGCUGCAGAGCCUCAUUGACAUGGCCAAGUGAGGCACCCGGGUGCCCACCUCGCUGCAGAGCCUCACAGACAUGGCCAAGUGAGGCUCCACUGGGAGUCACCCCCCAGGAACAGCCUC